CGUACCUUCCCGAGGUGCUGCUGGGAGCUGGCUGCUGGCCAUAGCCAGGGUAGGAGGACUGCUGCCCGUAAGACGAUUGGGAGCUCUGGCUACUGCCAUAGCCGCCAGUCGAGCCAUAUCCCUGGGGAGUUGACUGAGUUCCAUAGCCUGCUACCAGGAUAAGAAAAAGGGAGUCACAAAAGCCACCAGGAAAGAGAAAAUGUAAGGAAUGGGUUAAAGAAAACAUAAUACCUAUACUCAUAAAGCCAGCCUCUCAGAAGCUGUUAGUGAUGUUGCAACUCAUAGGCAAAGAUAGUUACCCUCCUUUCAAAGCCUAAAUUUAAUGCUUCAACUUCUACCAACUCUUUAGUACAGUUCCAAUUUCACCCCGCCAAUCCCAACACCAUCUCCAGCACCACCCUCUAAACCCAGGCCCAAGGAUCCCUGUUAACAGCACUGUAAUAUGCAGCUGUGCGUGCAGUAUCUACAGGACAACCACCUUUCUUAGUUACACUUCAGGACCUUGGGGCAAAUCCCACCUCCUUAUGUAUCACAUGAUUUCAUACAUUUUCAAACAAAACCAUUUUCUCCAUUUCAGAAUUGGCCUAAAACUGGUUCUUCCUUUAGAAAAUAUGCUCUCUUUCAUGCUGAUGGAAAAUAAGAAGAGUCAAAAAAAUUAAAAGCCAAAGAAAAUAAAUGGAAACAGAAUCACAAACCAAUAAACAUUUUUGUUUUUUGUUUUUUUUUUUAUGUUUUUGAGAUGGGGCCUCAACACACUGCCCAGGCUGGAAUGCAGUGGCUGUUCACAGGCACCAUCAUAGCUCACUGCAGCCCCAAACUCCUGAAUUCAAGGGAUCCUCCCGCCUCAGCCUCCUCAGUAGCUGGGACUACAGGUGUGCCACAAUGCCCUGUAAAGGACUCAGAUCCCAAAAAGUUUUAAGACUUAUACACUGUUUCACGGAAAAGAAAUAUGGAACAGUUUCAACAUCUCAGUGCUGCUCAGGUUUAAGAAAAGCAACAUUCAGGGCAUUGUGGCUGACGCCUGUAAUCCCAGCACUUUGGCAGGUCAAGGCAGGCAGGAGGUCAGGAGUUCCAGACCAGCCUGUCCAACACGGUGAAACCCCAUCUCUACUAAAAACACAAAAUUAGCCAGGCGUGGUAGCAGGUACCUGUAAUCCCAGCUACUCAGGAGGCUGAGGCAGGAGAAUCGUUUGAACCCGGUAGGCUGAUGUUGCAGUGAGCUGAGACAGCACCACUGCACUCCAGCCUGGGCAACAGGACCAGACUCCGUCUCCAAAAAACAAGAAAAAGAAAAGCAAUAUUCAGAAAGAGUAGGAAGAGGUGACCCGCUGAGAAAGACUCACUGUUCUGGCUCUGGCCAUAAGAAGAAUAGCUGCUCUGGCCAUAGCCUGAAGUGUCCGUGGACUGGCUAUAACCACUGUAACUCUGCUGUCCGUAGGGCUGACUGCUCUGCUGGGAAUAGCCCUGCCCGGGCUGGGUGGGGUAGGCCCCAUAGCUAAAUAAAAGGAAAACCAGCGUGAUCAGAAAACAUGGCGUGACCACCCUUGCCCUCUACAAACUCUGGAAGCCCAAAAAUAGCACUCACCUUUGGGUUGCUUGUUGGGUAUAAUCUGCAAAAGAAAAAUACAAUCACAUUAUCUUCAGCUGCCACUCUGAAAGAGUUGAAUUAAAGCUAAAUUCCUUAACUCAAGCACUGAUGAAUAAAAAGGACCACGUAGGCCAGGCACGGUGGAUCAUGCCUGUAAUCCCAGCAGUUUGGGAGGCCGAGGUGGGUGGAUCACUUGAGGUCAGGAAUUCGAGACUGGCCUGACCAACAUGGUGAAGCCCCAUCUCUAAUAAAAAUACAAAAAAUUAGCCGGGCAUGGUGGCGCACGCCUGUAAUCCCAGCUACUCGGGAGGUGAAGCAGGAGAAUCGCUUGAACCCGGGAGGCAGAGGUUGCAGUGAGCCAUUGCACUCCAGCCUGGCAACAGAGCAAGACUCCAUCUCAAAAAAAAAAAUAAAAAUAGGACCAUGUUGCAACAAAGGGCAUAAAAUUCCUCCAUGAGACACUGGUUGAGAAGAGGAACAAACUGGCGUUAUCAGCCAAGUGUU
rnacentral:lncRNA from 10 species